rnacentral:rRNA from 1 species
UACGGAGGGAGCUAGCGUUGUUCGGAAUUACUGGGCGUAAAGCGCACGUAGGCGGGUCGUUAAGUCAGGGGUGAAAUCCCAGAGCUCAACUCUGGAACUGCCUUUGAUACUGGCGACCUAGAGUUCGGAAGAGGUUAGUGGAAUUCCCAGUGUAGAGGUGAAAUUCGUAGAUAUUGGGAAGAACACCAGUGGCGAAGGCGGCUAACUGGUCCGAUACUGACGCUGAGGUGCGAAAGCGUGGGGAGCAAACAGGG